rnacentral:rRNA from 1 species
CGGAUGACCUGUGGAUCGGAGUGAAAGGCUAAUCAAGCUCGGAGAUAGCUGGUUCUCCUCGAAAGCUAUUUAGGUAGCGCCUCAUGUAUCACUGUAGGGGGUAGAGCACUGUUUCGGCUAGGGGGUCAUCCCGACUUACCAAACCGAUGCAAACUCCGAAUACCUACAAGUGCCGAGCAUGGGAGACACACGGCGGGUGCUAACGUCCGUCGUGAAAAGGGAAACAACCCAGACCGUCAGCUAAGGUCCCAAAGUCAUGGUUAAGUGGGAAACGAUGUGGGAAGGCUUAGACAGCUAGGAGGUUGGCUUAGAAGCAGCCAUCCUUUAAAGAAAGCGUAAUAGCUCACUAGUCGAGUCGGCCUGCGCGGAAGAUGUAACGGGGCUCAAACCAUGCACCGAAGCUACGGGUAUCACCUUUGGUGAUGCGGUAGAGGAGCGUUCUGUAAGCCUGUGAAGGUGAGUUGAGAAGCUUGCUGGAGGUAUCAGAAGUGCGAAUGCUGACAUGAGUAACGACAAUGCGAGUGAAAAACUCGCACGCCGAAAGACCAAGGUUUCCUGCGCAACGUUAAUCGACGCAGGGUUAGUCGGUCCCUAAGGCGAGGCUGAAAAGCGUAGUCGAUGGAAAACAGGUUAAUAUUCCUGUACUUCCAGUUAUUGCGAUGGAGGGACGGAGAAGGCUAGGCCAGCUUGGCGUUGGUUGUCCAAGUUUAAGGUGGUAGGCUGAAAUCUUAGGCAAAUCCGGGAUUUCAAGGCCGAGAGCUGAUGACGAGUUGCCAUUAGGCGACGAAGUGGUUGAUGCCAUGCUUCCAAGAAAAGCUCCUAAGCUUCAGAUAACUGGGAACCGUACCCCAAACCGACACAGGUGGUUAGGUAGAGAAUACCAAGGCGCUUGAGAGAACUCGGGUGAAGGAACUAGGCAAAAUGGCACCGUAACUUCGGGAGAAGGUGCGCCGGUGAGGGUGAAGCACUUGCUGCGUAAGCCCACGCCGGUCGAAGAUACCAGGCCGCUGCGACUGUUUAUUAAAAACACAGCACUCUGCAAACACGAAAGUGGACGUAUAGGGUGUGACGCCUGCCCGGUGCCGGAAGGUUAAUUGAUGGGGUUAGCGCAAGCGAAGCUCUUGAUCGAAGCCCCGGUAAACGGCGGCCGUAACAAUAACGGUCCUAAGGUAGCGAAAUUCCUUGUCGGGUAAGUUCCGACCUGCACGAAUGGCGUAACGAUGGCGGCGCUGUCUCCACCCGAGACUCAGUGAAAUUGAAAUCGCUGUGAAGAUGCAGUGUAUCCGCGGCUAGACGGAAAGACCCCGUGAACCUUUACUAUAGCUUGACACUGAACAUUGAGCCUUGAUGUGUAGGAUAGGUGGGAGGCUUUGAAGUGUGGACGCCAGUCUGCAUGGAGCCAACCUUGAAAUACCACCCUUUAAUGUUUGAUGUUCUAACUCGGCCCCAUAAUCUGGGGUGAGGACAGUGUCUGGUGGGUAGUUUGACUGGGGCGGUCUCCUCCCAAAGAGUAACGGAGGAGCACGAAGGUUAGCUAAUCACGGUCGGACAUCGUGAGGUUAGUGCAAAGGCAUAAGCUAGCUUGACUGCGAGAGUGACGGCUCGAGCAGGUACGAAAGUAGGUCUUAGUGAUCCGGUGGUUCUGUAUGGAAGGGCCAUCGCUCAACGGAUAAAAGGUACUCCGGGGAUAACAGGCUGAUACCGCCCAAGAGUUCAUAUCGACGGCGGUGUUUGGCACCUCGAUGUCGGCUCAUCACAUCCUGGGGCUGAAGCCGGUCCCAAGGGUAUGGCUGUUCGCCAUUUAAAGUGGUACGCGAGCUGGGUUUAGAACGUCGUGAGACAGUUCGGUCCCUAUCUGCCGUGGACGUUUGAGAUUUGAGAGGGGCUGCUCCUAGUACGAGAGGACCGGAGUGGACGAACCUCUGGUGUUCCGGUUGUCACGCCAGUGGCAUUGCCGGGUAGCUAUGUUCGGAAGAGAUAACCGCUGAAAGCAUCUAAGCGGGAAACUUGCCUCAAGAUGAGAUCUCACUGGGAUCUUGAAUCCCCUAAAGGGCCGUCGAAGACUACGAC